rnacentral:rRNA from 1 species
UUCCGGUUGAUCCCGCCGGAAGUCAUUGCUAGUGGAGUCCGAUUUAGCCAUGCUAGUUGCACGAGUUCAGACUCGUAGCAGAUAGCUCAGUAACACGUGGCCAAACUACCCUACAGAGCGCGAUAACCUCGGGAAACUGAGGCUAAUAGCGCAUACGGCUCUCACGCUGGAAUUGCGGAGAGCUCGAAACGCCCCGGCGCUGUAGGAUGUGGCUGCGGCCGAUUAGGUAGACGGUGGGGUAACGGCCCACCGUGCCAGUAAUCGGUACGGGUUGUGAGAGCAAGAGCCCGGAGACGGUAUCUGAGACAAGAUACCGGGCCCUACGGGGCGCAGCAGGCGCGAAACCUUUACACUGCACGCCAGUGCGAUAAGGGGACUCCAGGUGCGAGGGCAUAUAGUCCUCGCUUUUGUACACCGUAAGGUGGUGUACGAAUAAGUGCUGGGCAAGACCGGUGCCAGCCGCCGCGGUAAUACCGGCAGCACGAGUGAUGACCGCUAUUAUUGGGCCUAAAGCGUCCGUAGCUGGCCAGGCAAGUCCGUCGGGAAAUCUCCCCGCCCAACGGGGAGGCGUCCGGUGGAAACUGCUUGGCUUGGGACCGGAAGAUCCAGAGGGUACGUCCGGGGUAGGAGUGAAAUCCCGUAAUCCUGGACGGACCACCGGUGGCGAAAGCGCUCUGGAAAGACGGAUCCGACGGUGAGGGACGAAAGCUCGGGUCACGAACCGGAUUAGAUACCCGGGUAGUCCGAGCUGUAAACGAUGUCUGCUAGGUGUGCCACAGGCUACGAGCCUGUGGUGUGCCGUAGGGAAGCCGUGAAGCAGACCGCCUGGGAAGUACGUCCGCAAGGAUGAAACUUAAAGGAAUUGGCGGGGGAGCACUACAACCGGAGGAGCCUGCGGUUUAAUUGGAUUCAACGCCGGA